UACGUAGGGGGCUAGCGUUGUCCGGAAUCAUUGGGCGUAAAGCGCGCGUAGGCGGCCCGGUAAGUCCGCUGUAAAAGUCAAAGGCUCAACCUUUGAAUGUCAGUGGAUACUGCCGGGCUAGAGUCCGGAAGAGGCGAGUGGGAACUCCUGGUGUAGCGGCUGGAAUGCGCAGAUAUCAGGAAGGACACCGACGGCGAAGGCAGCUCGCUGGGACGGUACUGACGCUGAGGCGCGAAAGCGUGGGGAGCGAACAGGG
rnacentral:rRNA from 1 species